rnacentral:rRNA from 1 species
GAUGAACGCUGGCGGCGUGCCUAAUACAUGCAAGUCGAGCGAACUGAUUAGAAGCUUGCUUCUAUGACGUUAGCGGCGGACGGGUGAGUAACACGUGGGCAACCUGCCUGUAAGACUGGGAUAACUUCGGGAAACCGAAGCCAAUACCGGAUAGGAUCUUCUCCUUCAUGGGAGAUGAUUGAAAGAUGGUUUCGGCUAUCACUUACAGAUGGGCCCGCGGUGCAUUAGCUAGUUGGUGAGGUAACGGCUCACCAAGGCAACGAUGCAUAGCCGACCUGAGAGGGUGAUCGGCCACACUGGGACUGAGACACGGCCCAGACUCCUACGGGAGGCAGCAGUAGGGAAUCUUCCGCAAUGGACGAAAGUCUGACGGAGCAACGCCGCAUGAGUGAUGAAGGCUUUCGGGUCGUAAAACUCUGUUGUUAGGGAAGAACAAGUACGAGAGUAACUGCUCGUACCUUGACGGUACCUAACCAGAAAGCCACGGCUAACUACGUGCCAGCCGCCGCUGUAA